UUGGAGAAGGAAUCAGUAGGUAGUUCACAAUAUUUUAGCUUUAACAAAGAGAUGUUCCAAGAUUCAAAUCUUCUCCACUUAUAAAAACUAGACACCCUUUUUUCCAAGACAGUCUUUGAAGUAUUUGGGGACAUUGAUCUCAUGGCUCAGCUCAAGGCUUAUACCUCAAUCCCAGCACGUUAGCAGCUACAGCAGGCUCUAAAUAUCGAUCGUUGUUCGGUUUAAUGAAUGAAGCAGGCAUUUUUGGUGCAUUGUCAGUGUAAUCACAAAGCUUUGAGUGAAGUGCCAAAUGCAUCAAAAGAAAUAAUGGAAAAGAUCUUGAAAUGCUCUUGGGGAUAAGUUACAUGUUGUAAAUUCUACAAUCCAAACCCAGAUUUGCUAGCUGUCAUCUAUCAAAGACGAUUAUAAGCAGUAAUUGAUCUAAGGUUUUUUAAGUUAUUUAGCUCCUUCACAUUUCUACUCAAGUUGAACCUCCAACAUUUCUGAUAUACGAACAAUCGUUACUAAUUGGAUUGGAAAACACGACUUUUUGCCCUUUUUAGCCAAAAAGAUUGCAAUGGAUGGAGGAGCUAACAAGUGACACCAUGUGCUUUCGAAUAAGGUUAAGCUUCAAAAAAGAUUGUUCUUAUAGAUUAAUAUUUCAUGUUUACCUCACAACAUUUAUAUUUCUUUUACGUUUUAAAAUUGAUUUCUCAAUCCAUAUAUGGACCUGCACUUUGGGAUAAGAAUACCAAGCGUGGGAACAUUAAGGUUCGAUGUCAACUUCAACAUAUAUAUGUUGGCUUAAUGGUCGGUUCCACGAUAUGGCCCAAAUGUUAGGUCCUUUAAACCUCACAACCUGUUAAACCUAUUUAAAAAUUGGGUAAAGCACAUAAAUAGUUACUAAAUUAGUGUUCACCUUCCUUUUAACGGAAUUGCAUAAGUUUUUUUAUUAGUCUAAUAAUAAAUUUAAUUCUUUAAUAUUUACGCAUUAUAUUAAUUUGAUUUUAAAUAUAAAAAAUUUAUAAAUUUAAUCUUUAAUGUUUACAAUUUUAAAGGAAUUCAAUAAAUUUAUCCAAAAAUUACAAAUUUACAAAAUUUAGGAAAAGCUGCCUAGUUACUGUUAUAUUUUACAGUUAUCAACGACAAGCUCAGAUUUAUAAGCCGAAAGAAACUGUAGAAAAAAAUGCGCGAAGAUCAUCUGUAUAUGUAUAUCAUAAUGAUAUAACUUCAUGGUGGUGUUUUUUUUUUUAAUAAAUGAAUAUAUGUAUAUCAUAAUGAUAUGUAUAAUUUCAUUCUGUUAUUUAUUUAUCCGAAACAAG
rnacentral:lncRNA from 1 species